GGCCACUCCCAUCCAUGCGCAGCUGGUACUCCAUGUUGGACAGCUCCCUUUGCAGCUGAGGGUUCAGUGUGAAUACCAUGUCAUCCUUGGAUGGCUUGGAGCCACAGCUGUAACUGCGUAUUUUGAUGUCAUUUUCCUCAGCUGCAAAACAAAUCAGUUAGAAACAGGAACAGCAUGAGUUAGAAAAGUGUGACAGCUUCUGCUGACAAGUAUUUACUAAAAGCAUAAUUUUAUGCAACAAGUUACUGUAAUUGCCCUGCACGCAUUUUUUUCUAAUAGAAAACACAUGAAUAACAAGCUUGGGCAAAUAAAGAGGAACAUCUUUUUGUGCUUGCAUCACAGUAACGUAAAGAGGAAGCUUUACCUUGUGGCUCCUAUCUAAAUACAUGGGAAAGGAGAAAUCAUCUUUCUCAGCAACCAAUGCACCAAGUUUGAUGAAGUUUGCUGCAUAUAAAAGAAAAAUUUUAAAUCUAGUGACUGUUGGUAGCAAAUUUUCUAAUUAGGGCGUGAAUUUUUAAAUAAGAAUUGUUGAAAAUCGCAAGUUUACAGAAAACGAAACUAGCAACUUUACAACUCUGUAACUUAGAAAUAAAAAAUAUCACAAUUCUGUAAAUUGCAUCUAAUGCUGCAUCUAAAGUGAACAAAAUUGACGUAUUGUACAUGACUCUCACAUAGACCAUUAAUAUGUGAACUGGACUUUUGCUAAACCCUUGUAAACAACAUAACAAGUUCAUGUAAGCUAUAAAUUGAAAUAUCAAAUUUGUCCUGCUUUGGAUGCUCUAACGGAUCCAGUUUACAGAACUGCGAUAUCUGUUCUUGGUGCAUGAGAUACAAAUUUGUAAACUUUUUGCUUCUAUUUCUUUCAAUCUUACCAAUUUUUGAAAUUUCCUUUUAAAACAUUCAGGCCUUAAAUAAAUAUUCUGCUUCCAACACUCAUUAGAAUUUAACUUUUUCUUUAACUGUGCAACAAAUUUAAUCAAUA
rnacentral:lncRNA from 1 species